rnacentral:lncRNA from 1 species
GUGGGAGAUAAGGUAUACAUACUUACAAGACAUUUAUUGCAUAGUCAAACCAUGGAUCCAAAGAAACAAAUCAAUAAGUUUAAUCAAGAUAUGCAUGUGUGGCGAAUGAAUGGUGUAUGGUGAUGAUGGUGAUAACAAUGGUGGAAGUCUAAUUCUACUUUUGCUCUUUGAGGGGAUACAUACCUUCCUUGCUUUUUAAAACUUUAUGAGGAGAAUGAGAUGCUCUUCUUUUUCUUUUCUCUCAGGUGGGUAUCUUGUACCCCUAAUUCUACUGUCGCACACUUGUCCAUUUUUACCUCUCGUCUCACCUUUUCUUUUCUUUCGAGGUUCCGAGCACUUGCUCCUUUUUAUUUCCUCGUUUUUUUAGAGCACUCAUCUCUUGAGAUAAUAUAGCAAGUGGUAGUAGCAAGAUAACUUGAGCAUUUAUUUCACUGGGGAAAAUCAGAAAUAUUUUUGGUUAUUCUCUCCCGGAUUAGGAGUAGAAUAUUUUUGGGUGAUUCUGGAGAUGGAAUGGGUGGAUAUAUGUGGAUGGUACUUCCGGAGUAGAAGUAGCAUAUAUGAGUGAACGUGCAAGUGAAUCUUGAUUUAACCGCAUGACAAGCUCCUAAGGGUCUACACAGCUUGACCACACUCAAUGCUCAUAAGCAGUAAAUAGUAAAUGUGUGGCUCAAAAUCUAGCAAGCAUGUAUAUAUGGCUGUGGUAGGAAUUUAAAACUCUCAUCAUACAGGAACUCAUCAUGCAACAUUUUAAAGAUUUUUAAAGAUGAAAUUCUCCAGAAUUCUAGCAUCUCUAGGAACAGAUAAACAGCAGCUCAACCUUCCCAUAUCGUAUCCGUUAACAACUUAGACUUCAGAUCAAGUUUUCAUCCCACAAGUUUAGGUCUAGAGCAAGCUUUAAAUUAUAACAGUUAUAUCUAAACUUGAGAGAGAACUUAAAAUGUGCAAAUUAGGCAGAGCAACUAUUCAUCUUAUCCAUGCUUGAGUUUUAUUUAGAUACAGAUUAGCAUAGCCACUUUAUUUAUUUAUUAAUCACACUAACCAAAAGACAUAUAUAUAUAAGCAUAAAAUCUUUAUUUGGUUUUUCAUAGUUAUGUAUAUUUAUAUUCUAAAAUAAUAUAAGUAUAAAGAUAGAUAGAUAGAAAUACUUAUCGAGAUAAAUGGGGGCGCUCUCCCCCAAGCUGAAUUUUGACGUAAUUUUCCUUGAUGUAGCUAGCAGGCGGCAGAGGUGUAUUUGAAAGUCAGCAGCAUUCUGACAGCGAUUAGAAUAUCCUCCGUCAGCUAGUCUUCUUGAUUCUUAAAUUCUGUUGAGCUCAAAUAGACAACAAAGCUUGUGGAACUGAUAAAGUGUUAGCAUAAAUAUCUAGCAUUUAUCAUGUUGAGACUCCUUAACAAAUAUUACUCCCUGUUUUUUAUAUUUUCAUUUUAUAAAGCAGAAAAGAAAUUUUUAUUUUAUUUUUAUGCCACCACAGUGAAUGUACUUAUGGGUUUUAUGCCACUCGUAUACUCACAUGGGGCUUACUGUUUUUCACAUUUUUAUUUUCUUUUAUUUUUAAGAUAGUAUGAAUAUGAUUAACUAAGUGAACUAUUUAAAAUAAUUGAAAUAAUUGAAAGGGAAAGGAUAACUACCAAGUUUACCUCUUGGCAAGGCGUUCGGUGUUUUUAAGUCCUCCGAACGGGACUCUCCAUUUUUUCAAUUGUCCUGAGGUUCGUUGGGUGGCGUAGUCGGUACUUCCGGCGGCGUCUCCUCUUCAUGUAUAGUUAUCUUCAUUUUUCAUACCUGACUCGGUGCUACGGUCUUCUCUGGAUAAUUCUGUUUAAACUCUACGUCUUCUGACCUUACAACUUCUCCUUCAUAGUCUGCCCAUCCAUCCUUGAUGAUUUCCCUCCUCUAGUUACGAUUGCGUCUUUUCCUUACCUGCUUAGAUUCUUCAACGAUAUAGUUAGGGUCAGUAAAAUAACGGCAUACCUUCUCUAAGGGGAAGUGCACAUGGACUUCUCCGGUUCCAAUGUAGAUGAUUGCUUUAACGGUGCUGAGGAACGGUCUCCCAAGGAUGAUGGGUGGAUCGUAUUCAUCUUCUCCCGUGUCAAUAACUUGAAAGUCUGUGUAGACAAAAUGAUCGUCUAUUUUGACUGGGACAUCAGUUACUAUUCCUUGAACUUCUCAAAAUGUCUGAUCUGCCAUCUGGAGCUGAAUGUAUGUUGGCCUUAGGGGCAUGGUUCCGAACAAGAGCCGAUAGGUGACUGCGGCCAUUAUGUUGACGCCCGAUCCGGUGUUACAAGUUGCCUUGUAGAAGUUAUAUCCAUUUAUGGAGCAGUAGAUGCUUGGCAUUCCUGGGUCGUCCUUCUUGGUCAAACGCGGUGACUUAAGUUGAUGAUCUUGGCCUCCAUGAACUACAGUGACCAUCUUAGCUGACUUAGUCCACACUUGUUUGUUCCUGUUCCUCCUGUUGGUCCUCUUCCUUGAUUCACGUCUGGAUUGAUUUGGAAUUUGUGUAGUCUUGUUCUUGAAGAAAAAUGUCUCCUUCCUCCCUUUGACGUAGAAACUGAUCUUGGCAGCACUAGCGUAGAUGAUAGCUCCCGUGGUGUUCAAGAAUAGCCUCCCUAAGAUAAUAGGUGCCCUCUCAUCAUUUCCGGUCUCUACUACUACGAAGUCUGCUAGAGCAUAUAAGGUACCAACUCGGACACAUGGUUGUUUCUAAUAAAGGAUAUGUAAAGAAUUUUUCAUAGAGUACCCUGGGUAUAAUGUUGACGCUGGAGCCAAAGUCACAGAGUGCUUCUGGGACAUCCACCAUGCCGAUGGAGAUCGGGAUGACGGGGCGUCCUGGAUCACCUCUCUUGACCGGCAG